rnacentral:misc_RNA from 1 species
AAAAAAGUUAAAUUAUUUCUUAGUAUCAGUCCAUGCGUUGGUCCCCUUAUGCAUGAUACAAACGUAUAAUUGAUUUCUUUAUUGGAUGCUGCAAUUCUUCCAGCUUUUGGUUGGGGUUUCAGUAAAUGUUUUGCUACAAAAUUCUUACCUCCCAUCAUUCAACCAAAACCAUAGCUACUUAAAGAGUAAUUGAGGUUAUAAGAAGCAUAAAAAAUCUAAUGACUACCCAUUAUUCAUACAUGAUGCAUCACAGUUGCUAACAGGGACUCUGCUGUUACAGUUAAUCAUCAAACCAUGCAUGCUAAUACUAAUGCUUUAACACAAUUGUCUCUCUUUUCCAUUUGAAACAUCAUAUUGGGGAAAUCAUGCCAGACAGGAGUGCACAAUUCAGUCUUGUCAUCAACACAAACAUUCAUCAGGCAUUCAAACGUACACAAGCACAAACCCACAACCGAAAAGCUUCCAUCAAACACUUUAACUCCCAUACCAUGAUUGUCCUUAAUGGCUUUCUCACUCAACAUCAUACCCUUUGUCUUGAAGCUCUUGUAUGACUUCAUUCCUCAUCCUCAGCCACAGCUUCUGCGCCUCUUGCUCAAACUUCUUGUUCUGCAACUCUUUCUGAUAAUUAUACGCAUCUUUAUCCGUUUCCACAAUCCCUUUGGGUCCAAUUGUCGUGCCGAUCAUUCCCCCCUUGGCAAUGAACUCUUCCAUGGCUUCUGUGUCGCCUGGAUAUGGGAACUCUCGCCUCUCAUACAAGUGAGCUAGCUCUCGCUCCUCCUUUGGCUUUGGCUUUAGCGUCCACCAACCAAGCGGCGAUGUUUCGUUGUAGAGCCACGCAACCCCAAAUAGUGUGUAGGUGCAGAGCAAAGCCUUGCCCACUUGCUUCCAAAAGUACCAGUCUUCUUUUCCCAAUCCUACUUUCCUAAGGUACUUGUCGUAAUUCACCGUUUUAAGAUAUUCAAAGCCUGAAAACAUUAACCUGUUUAUUCUCUCUUUUUUUUCAAGCAUUUCAUCGAACAGUUGGACAGCAGUUUAGAUGAAUAAGAAAAAACUAUAAUUCAUACCUGUUUUAGCUUCUUGAAAACGUUUACGAACCAUUUCUUUGGCUCUGGCUAUGACUGCUUUGAGUAUAACUCUUUUAUCGGUGGUUUAAAGUUAAAAUUUUGCGAACGAAGCAAAUAUCCGUUGAGACUGGAGAGCUUAACCUAACCUUACAUAAGAUGACCGAGUG